AUAUAUUACAUAUUUGUACCACAAAUUACAUACUACAUAUUUGUAUAAUCAAAUGACAAGAAUUGCUAAACUGUCAGUCUUGAUUAACCUAAAUUUUUGACAUACAUGCUAACCUUUAAUUUUCUCAAAAUAAAUGAAACCACUUUCAAAAUAAACGAUGCAUAUGAGCUAGGUAGGGACCAGGGGCCUUCCCCGUGUCAGGAUGUAACAAAUUUUAAGUUAACACUGUUGUAACAAGAUGGCCCCCGCGGGUGUAGUGUAAAUAGAUAGCAAAAUCGUCGCGAACGCGGUUGUACAUAAACGUAAUACACACACGUACGAAUUUUAACUAAUUCUAGAUCACGAUCUAAGCAGCUUACUGGAACCGUUCUCCCUAUUGUUUCGCCUCGUAACCGCUAGAAUACUCGAAAAUCAAAAGAUUCCAGAAGUCUGCGAGAAACACAGACGAAGAUUUCAGGCGAAUCGACAAAAUUCGCGCGGUUUCUGUACAUGUAAGUGUUGAACCGAAAACCGAGAAACCGCACAAGUAUUCAUUUCUCGACAAACUAUUACAUGUAAAAAGAAAACGAAUAUAGGGAAAGGAGUUGUAAACUCGUCGAACUGAUUUGUACAGCGUUUAAGGCCUGUCCACGAUAAUCCUUGUGUUACUCAUCAAUAUUACUCGUCUGGAAAGGAAAAAUGUAGUAGAUAAAGUGCGAAUAAUCAUAUCGGUGUCAAUGUUUUAGAACAUGAAUUUGUAGUACAAAGUGAGGAACAGCUGUAUGGUAAUUCUGACUUGUAACAUAAGCUGUUUCCUUCCUUCUGUACUGGGAAUUUGUACAUCAAAAAAAUUGACAUGUAGUUAAUAAUUGUUACUAUAGAAAUUGGAUGGGUUAACAAUUUGGAUGAACGGUGGACUGGCCUGAGUCACAGGACUUGAGUUCUGAACACUUCUUGAAGACUGCCGAAUACUGUUGACGUAACUGGAAUUGUUGGGGUGGACUUAGUAUACUUAGGGAUGUAUACCUAGUAGUAAUAGCAACAUAUGAGCACAUUGUUGAAAAAUUACAGCUUCAAAUUUGAAUAUUAGGGCUUUUGGUUGUAUAACAAUUUGUAGAUUCAGAGAUUUGAAACGCAGAGAUCUGAAAAAUUGAUAUUGUAUAAAGUUAGGAGUCUCAAAUUUAUAAAUCUGAGCUGAUGAGCUGAUGAAAAUGUUUGAAAUGGUAUCGUACACCACUUGUAUGUGGAAUGAUAGUUUAAUUUUGUAGUAUUGUGUUCUUUGCUCCACUCUAACAGUAACCCAGUUACGCCAAUGGCAAAAUAAUUAUUUGAAACGCUUCGGCAUCCGCAAUAAUCGAUCAAAUAAGCGUUAAAAUUACUUUCUCCUUUCACGUUAAAUUGUAUCAGCAGAUAAUGGCACAGCUUGUAUCGUUUUUGCGUAUUUUUAAAAUUCGAUAGGAUACCGACCGUCGGUAAUUUAGACAGUUCUAAAACUGCGUUUCAUUUUCUGUUUCCAAGUAUACUCAUAGAUCAUAGACACCGAUUUGUUAAAAUUUUCCGAAGACGAUACCGAAAUUUCCUCGAUUCCGACGCUGUUAUCGAACAGAGAAAAUGUCGACCGAAAUAUAAAUGUGAAAGGAUUGUAUAAACAGAAUAUCCGAGUGAGCGAAAUUAUGAACAGAUCCGACAAUAACAUACGAACGCAUGUAUACAACAUUUAUGCGCAUGCGCCGUGCACCGCAUAUAUAUAUGAAAGCGAAAUGUUGAGUAGCAACGAGUAUAGUUGUAUCUCUCAGGCCGACGUAUGUAAAAAAAAUGAUUCGGUUGUGAAAUCUGUCGAAGGAUUAGGGCAACAAUAAAUAUUCUGCAUAAUAUCACUGACAGUAACGGUGGACAUAGUUAAACGUUAUUUAACGGAGAAACAUAUAAUUAUUAAUAUGUAUGUAAAAGUUGAGGUAACAGAAUAAUGACAACAUGUUGACUGAUGACGUUCGACCUGAAAGAUACUGUUAUGUAUCGAUUAAAAUCAAUAGAGGAUGGAUCACCGUCAGCCGCAAACGUUUGAACAGAACCUCCAAAAAACAUGCUCACACAACAUGCAUAUAGUUACUAAUUAUACCAUUAUUGAUUACCGAUUCGAGUAUCGAGUAUGCGACAUUUUUAAUAAAUUAUUUUGAAGAUUGA